UACCUCGGUCUGGGCUUCUUUUGUCUAGUUUUUUCCAUUUCUGCCUUUCUCCACAUAGUUCCCAUCCCAGGUUUGUGGGACUCUCCCUUACUAUUGAUUAAUGAGCAUGCUUCAGCUUGUGUUGACUACAAAUUUUAGGUGAUGGUUGCCUUGCUAAUUACUGCUACCCAAGGAAGGUUAUAUAGCUGUUAAAUCUAUACUUGUUGCACAUGUGCAUUUCUUAGGAAAUUCUCCUUUGCCCUUUCUCCUCCAUAUCAGUAUGUAGCUAGCUACAGUUUGACGGUUUGACUGCAGAGUGAGCCGUUACUGGGCAU
rnacentral:lncRNA from 1 species